CAACCUCCACAGGCUGGCUGCCCCUCAGGCAGGAAUAGGCGAGUAUCUCUUCGAACGACUCACCCUCAAGCACGACUAGAGA
rnacentral:pre_miRNA from 1 species